rnacentral:misc_RNA from 1 species
UAGAUAUUUAAUUUAAGAGCGACCAAUUAAGGCUUUCUAAAGGAGCAUGCAAGGAUUGGUAGCCAGAGCUAUUAUUAUUUCCCUGUAGGCUUUUGAGAGCGAAUAUUUCUCUCAAAGUUCAUCUUGCUAUUCGUCUCUCAAGACCGUUGAGUUUUUCAGUUUUCAAAGGCUCCCUUGUCCUUUAAGGCAAGGGAAGAUGCUUGUUCUAGUCUAACUGAGGUCUAUCCCCCUCUCAACUGGGCUAGAAGUGUAUAGUCCUUAGUUAGUUCGUGUUCUUGCAGGUGUGGAUGAAAAUGGGAGAGUUUCCAGUGAAGACCUGCUAAAUGGAUAUGUGUUUUGCUGUCUGUUUGGGUGCCACUGAAUAUAGAGGGUCUCUUGCUUGUUUGAUGGAAGUAACUUUAGGUCCUUGUGCCAACCGGAUCUAGUAGCUGCCGACCCCCAUCUGGCUACACGAGAUUGAGACGCCAAGAGCUCUGCCUCAUCCCCUGUGAACGGUCGUCGGCGAUGGCUAUGCUUUCUAGUUUUCGAGGUCCAGUGUAUGGCGGAGAUGAAGCUCCAAUUGGGACUACAAAGAAAGAGGCAGGCUCCAGCUACUGAAUCCUUUGGUUGGUGCUUUUCCAUCCACCGAAUCCAACUCCAGCUUCUAGGAGGAGCAGUAGUGAUGCUUUUUGAUGUUGCUCUUGUGUUUUCCCAUGGUUAAUGAGAUAUAGGGUAGGGUUUCCUUGGGUUGGAAUGUUUUCUGUUUGGGCUGAGUUCCUGGGCCUUAGAGAUGACUCAUUGUGUACAAGAUGUAAUGUUUUGCCCUAUGGGCCAUAAAAUGCAACUAUGCAAUUGAAAAAAAAAAA